CCCUACGGGGCGCAGCAGGCGCGAAGACUUUACAAUGCUGGAAACAGCGAUAAGGGGGCCUCGAGUGCCAGGUUACAAAUCUGGCUGUCGCGAUGCCUAAAAAGCAUUGCAUAGCAAGGGCCGGGCAAGACCGGUGCCAGCCGCCGCGGUAACACCGGCGGCUCGAGUGGUAACCGUUAUUAUUGGGUCUAAAGGGUCUGUAGCCGGCCGGAUAAGUCUCUUGGGAAAUCCAGCAGCUCAACUGUUGGGCUUUCAGGAGAUACUGUCUGGCUCGAGGCCGGGAGAGGUGAGAGGUACUUCAGGGGUAGGGGUGAAAUCUUGUAAUCC
rnacentral:rRNA from 1 species